rnacentral:rRNA from 1 species
GGAGCUUGCUCCUUUGACGUUAGCGGCGGACGGGUGAGUAACACGUGGGUAACCUACCUAUAAGACUGGGAUAACUUCGGGAAACCGGAGCUAAUACCGGAUAACAUUUGGAACCGCAUGGUUCUAAAGUGAAAGAUGGUUUUGCUAUCACUUAUAGAUGGACCCGCGCCGUAUUAGCUAGUUGGUAAGGUAACGGCUUACCAAGGCGACGAUACGUAGCCGACCUGAGAGGGUGAUCGGCCACACUGGAACUGAGACACGGUCCAGACUCCUACGGGAGGCAGCAGUAGGGAAUCUUCCGCAAUGGGCGAAAGCCUGACGGAGCAACGCCGCGUGAGUGAUGAAGGGUUUCGGCUCGUAAAACUCUGUUAUUAGGGAAGAACAAACGUGUAAGUAACUGUGCACGUCUUGACGGUACCUAAUCAGAAAGCCACGGCUAACUACGUGCCAGCAGCCGCGGUAAUACGUAGGUGGCAAGCGUUAUCCGGAAUUAUUGGGCGUAAAGCGCGCGUAGGCGGUUUCUUAAGUCUGAUGUGAAAGCCCACGGCUCAACCGUGGAGGGUCAUUGGAAACUGGGAAACUUGAGUGCAGAAGAGGAAAGUGGAAUUCCAUGUGUAGCGGUGAAAUGCGCAGAGAUAUGGAGG